GCCACGGUGGCCGAGUGGUCAAGGCGUGAGCUUGUGGCGCUCAUGGGGUUAAACCCAUCGCAGGUUCGAAUCCUGCCCGUGGCA
rnacentral:tRNA from 1 species